GUUAUUUCCUUCUGGUUGUAUGUUAUUUGGGUAAGUAUACUUCUAUUAAUUUACCACAUUACUGUUAGUGUUUUACUCCUCCACACUUCUCAUUGUGUAAAUACUUUAUUUUUGUAGAAUGCAGAGCUGAGGACAGACUUGAACAACCAGAUGAAAUGGCUGCUGCAGAAGGAGGACAUGUUACACUCCACUGCAAAUACAUUACUGAUGAUACGUAUCCAUACUUAUUCUGGUUCCAACAAAAGCUAAAAGUAUACCCUAAAUGUAUACUCAACAAGCUUACCUCUGGUGACCUCUACCUCUAACAUGAGACACAGUUGGUGAAUCACAUGUGAUUACAUUAGGUUAAUACAACUGCAUGUAAGUUUGACAUUACUCUAGUAAAAACAAAACAAAAAUCAGCAUAGUUGGAUUACAUUACUCUAGUAAUUUUGUUUCUUUUUUGUUUAAAUCAGCAUACAGGCAAGUUUUCACCAACAAGUAACACAAAACAGCUUUCUCUCCUGAUUUUGUAAGGUGCCUCUUGCCUGCAGAGCCAUCCUCCAAUCAGUUUACCGUAUCAAGAGGGUGUGUCACUCUAGCCAAAAGGAAGGAUUUAGAUUUAGUUGAACAUUUGAAGCACCACAUGUUCCAAUGUUAAGAGGAACUUUCAGUACAAAGAACCACUUAUAGAACUGAGUUUAUUUCUGAGAAUUGUUAACUCCACGAUGUUUAUCUUUUCAGCAUUUUUUCUCACAAUUCUCACAGGGGACUCCUCUGGGGAUCAGAUAACAUCAAAUAGGGCUGACAGCACUGCACUGGAAAGAUCUAAUGUAACCCUUUCAUGCAACUACUCUUCUGCAACAAUUCUUCAGUGGUAUCGUCAACAUUCAGGAUCACCUCCAACAUUUCUAAUGACUGUGUACAGUGUUGAAGACCAGAAAUAUGAGAAAGAUGGUCGGAUUUCUGGUAGACUGAAUAUAGAGAAAACCCAAGUGUUCCUGGAGAUCUCCUCUACUCGAGUGUCAGACUCUGCUCUCUACUACUGUGCCCUGCAGCCCACAGUGACGGAACACCCAGCUGCUCUCUACAAAAACAUCUGCAGCAGUGCAACAGCAGCUAAUCCUUUCAGCAUGGAUGCAAGUCAAGUGUGCACUCUGUGUUUCUACAUGUGGCCUGUUGCUCUGAUAUGAGC